GGAGCCUACAUGGCCGAGGCGGGAGAGGGGCCCUGACAAACUGGAGCUCUUAGAGAAGAGGAAAGGACAGAGGGGUCCACAAGACCAUGAAGAUGGCACCGUGACCAGAACAGGCCUCAGCUCCCCAGCCUCACUAGGCUGGUGGAGAGGAAGAGGAAAGGUUCAGAAGAGAUGCCUGAGAGGUGCUUGGAGAGACAGGCCCCAGUGGAGGUGAGCCCACUGCAAGCAGGAGGGACCAAUGGCCUCCCCCAGCACCUCCAUUAAAGCUGGCCAGGCGAUCCCUAAUCCUCUCUCAGUCUGCAAUCACCUGUGGAUAAGGGUCGUUGGGUAGGAUUGCAACCAGCAACGAAUAGCAGCAAGGGCAGUGGAGACAGAGGGACGGACAGCAUGAGGAGAGCAUGGUAAAAGGGGGGCUGGGAAAGCUUGAGCUGUGGAUGAGGGCAAAAGCUUUGGUGGUUAAGGACUCCAUCUCCCAAGGCAGGAAGCGCUAGGACUGAUGUCGAUGAUGUUUUUGUCCAACUUGUGGAGGCUGGGUACACACACAUUGUAGAGAUAGGUGCCCAGGCCGUGGGACGCAGAUUGUAGUCCCUCACCAUCUUCCCAGAUGCCCACUUUUCUCAGUAGUGCCCACUCUUGAAGGGCAAAUCGACAGGGAAAGGUAGGGAAAGGAUCAAGAAUGGAAAGGAUAGAGAAGUUUCCCCGAAAGAAGGUCAGAGGUUAAGGGUCAGCAGCUGGUGGGUCUAACCUGAGACUCACACAGACCUCUUGGACAAUAGUGCAGAAGCUCUUCUAGUCAAGUAGAGAGAGGCCCCUUGGACACAGACAGACAGACAGACAGACACACACACACACUCACGCAAAACUGGUAAACCUCAUGAUCUGGAUACACCGUACCAUUGUCACUUUCCUGGCAGUCAUAUAAAAUGUCACCACUGGGAAAAUCCUAGUGAAGUGUCCACAGGAUCUGUCUCUCUGUGUGAUUUCUGACAACGGCAUAUGAAUUUGCAUUUCAAAGGGCCACGGUAUUAACGGGCUUGUAUAGCAUUCCUGAGGCCCUCAGUUCCAUUUGCAGUCACACACACACACACACACACACACAAACACACACUUCAAGAUCCAAACCUUGUUUUUGAGCGCAAAGGAAUUAGCCCUGGGAAGGGCUGAAAGCCAGGGUCAUUCAGAGAUGGGGAAAGUAUUCUUGAUUUGUUGGUUGAAUAAACGAACCAUCUUCAUUCUGGGAUACUAAAGUAAAAGUGUGUGUGUGUGUGUGUGUGUGUGUGUGUGUGCAGUGGUGCUUGAGAGCGUGAGCAUGCAUUCCCAGGAGCACAGUACAGAAGAAACAAUUUAAACGCUGAAUUAUGUCCAUAAAGAUUUAGAGCCUUAGGGAAUGACUUUUCAUGUAGUUUGCAUACAUUAAAGCUCACUCUGUGAUGAGCAGGUCCCUGGUUUUUGACAGAUGCAAGAAACGGUAUAUUUUCUACCCCAGGAAUAUACAAAGCAGUUCCAUCACCCUAAAUAUUCACGUGUGCACCCUCUUUGUCGUUAGCCACACCCUACCUACCAGUCCCUGGCACCCUCCAAUGAUGAAUUGAAUUCUACAACGCAAGUUGAAUUCUAAAAAGGUUAAAAAAAAAAAAAAAAAAAAGAAAGAAAGAAAAGUGGGAGAAGGCAUCAGGCACAGAACGCGAAGAACAAAGGAAUAGAUACUGUUCUGUUUUGUUCUAAGCUCACAGCCGGGACGAGGAGAAUGGCUCAGUGUGAAGGGGCAGAGACAGGUAGACCCUGGAGGCUCAAUGGCCAGCUAGCCAACUUACCUGAAUUUGGAUGGUCCAGACACAGUGAGAGAAUCCUGGCUUAAAAUACAAGGUGAAGAACUAUAGAGAAGCAGCCCCACGUCAACCUCUGACCUCUCCACCCGUGUGCAUGGGUAGGUACACCUGCAUGCCGCCCCCUCCACACGCACACACAAAGCCCAUCACCCAAAGCUGUUUAUCUAACACCAUGGAUCACCAUUACAGGCAAUGCAGCAAUGGUCUGCAAAUGUUGGCUCAUUGGCUAGUUGGUUGGUUGAAAUCACAUAACACCUUUAAACCUCGGUUUCCUCACCUAUGCAUGGGAGCAGCCAAACUUGGGGUGUGUUUGUUCCUUCAGCAAAGCCCUUCAGCAAAGCCUUCUUGAGUUCCUCCUAUGAAGCUGGUACCAUUUCAUUGACCAGGAAUGUAGCCAUGGACAAAACAGACAAAGAUGCCAGUCCCUGGGCUUGCUUAUAUUGGAGAAAACAGACAUUUGACAGACGGAGCAACCAAGAACGUGUAAGGACUGAAACGGAGAGAAAUACUGUGUAGAUGACUCAGCAAGGAACGGGGGUUACGAAUGUGGGGUGCAGGCCUUUAGUCCCAGCACUCAGGAGGCAGAGGCAGGCAGAUCUCCGUGAGUUCAAGGCCAGCCUGGUCUACAGAGUGAGUUCCAGGACAGCCAAGGCUACACAGAGAAACCCUGUCUCGAAAAACCAAAAAUGAACAAAUAAGAAGUAAACAAAUAAAUGAAAAGAUGGGGGGGGUUGGAGUGAAGGUGGCGAUGCCUGUAAUCCCAGUGCUUGAGGCAGGAAGGUUGGGAGUUUGAGAUUAGGCUUGGCUAUCCAGUGACAGCCUGUCUCAAAAAUAAAUGAAUAAACUAAUAUAAGAUAACUGGAGUCACCCCACAGGCGCUCUGGAGCUUGUCUUGUAAGGAUGAGGAAGGAAAGGACACAGAGGGCUGUGCAGGAUCAUCUCAGCUCAUGUAAGAUGUGCCUGGCAGAUACCAGGAAGAGCCAGAAGGCCAGCCAGGCUGGAGGGAAUGAACACAGAGUCAAGGUAAAAUAGAUCAUAUAGCUUGAAAAGGCCAGGUGGCCUAGCGUCUUGCAGGUCAUGGUGCUUUUAUUCUCAGCGAAAUGGGAAGGCAUCCCUGGGUUUUGAGGAGAAGAAUUACACGAUCUGACCUAUGUUAUGGUCAUAAUUUAAAUUAUAUUAAAUAUUAAAACGAAUAUUAACUAUUUAAAAGGCUUGGGCACAGAGCCUGGAACAUGGCUUGUAUCCUGCCUACUAUGUCCAUUCACGGGUAUACCUUGACUUGCUCCCAAGGGUCUAUGAGACUGGCACAAGCCCCUGCUGGUCGCUGGCGCCCUCUCCUGGACAAGGACGGACCAGCUGACAACUGGAAAGGUCAGGCUGCAGCCAGGUCAGUUACUCACGACAGCUGUCUCUAAGGUGUCUGUCCCUGGGCAUGGGCCCCGGCCGUGCCCUGUAGCCUGGCGCUGAGCUGGCUGUGUGUACUGCCAGAUUGCUCUGCCCGCUGAUCACAAGUCUAUGGUGUCAUGGAAAGAUAUCUGGGCUCCAGAAGCCCUGUCUUCCUUUGCGUUAGAUGGCUGUGUGACCUUGGCAGAUCACGACACCUCUCUGGGCCAAGGAACAUUUCAUCUAAGUUGUUUUGCUUGUUUGUUUUGACAGGCCAACCUGGAACUUGCUCUGUGGCACAGUCGGUUCUUAAACUCAUGAUGCUCCUCAGCCUCCUAAGUGCUAGGAACCAUUGUGCCUGGCUUCUCUGGGUCGUUAAUUUUUUAUUUUUUGAGAUUUUAUUUAAAUGUUAUUUUUGUUUAUGUGGAUGGAUGUCUGUACCAUGUGCAUGCAGCACCCCAUGGAGGCUCAAAGAAGGUAUUGUAUCUCCUGGGACUGGAGUUACAAAUGACUUUGAGCUUCCAUACACAUGCUGGGAAUUGAACCUGGGUCCUCUGGAAGAGCAGCCAGUGUUCUCAACUGCUGGACCAUCUUUCUAGGCCCAUUCUCCAAGUCUUAAUGACUUCCUAUGUGUAUGUGUAUGUGGUAGGGAAGGGGGGUGAGAUCUCAGUAAAUGUCCAUUGAAUUGGUGAAGAAGUGGGUGCUACCAGCCCUUCCUAGUGAAUAUUUAAUAUAGAGAAAAGUAAAUAAAUGUGCCCAGUGGGUUUUCAUUCAAGAAGUAUUUAAAUAUUUAAUGCGUACCAAGUACUCUUUGGGGUGCGAGGAAUACAGCAGUGAAUAAAACAGAUAAAAACUGUCCUUGGGCAGCUGGCAUUUUUAGGUACUGAACCAAAGGUCACUGGUGCAUUUGCAUAUGUGCCCCGGUGAGCUGUGUAGAGAGGCAGGAGGGAGAAAGGAGUGACCUCAGAGGGCAGGGCUGGAGUUCA